CCAAGAUCCUCCCCUCCUCUACUUUGUACCCUUUGCCCCCUGAAUUCGAAAUCACUUCCUGUUUUCUGUCCACCCCAGGACGUUUGUCACCUCCUGGCCCUUGCCUGACAGUUCUGCCCUGGGCCCUCCUUCAUUCCUCUCCCCUAGGAAGCCAGGGGCCUUCCCUGGCUCUGACCUCGCCCUCUUUCACCGUCCUUCCCAAUAAAUAAUGUGCUUAUUAUUUAUUGAUCUGGACAGAGGCCUUCCCUGUCUCCUCUUGUCCUUGAGAGUCCUGCGGACUGGCCGGUGUCUUGCUUUUUGGGCCUCAGCCCACCGUGAGCUGGUCCCAGAUCCGUCGGAAACCUGUGGACAUGGACUGAAGCUCAAGGACUUGGCCUAGGGAUGCUGAGGGGACACACCAGGCCUGCAGGGUGUAGGUGUGACAGCCUGCCCCUUGACAGGACGCGGUGUCAGAAUAACAAGGGUGACAGCACCAGGCAGCCGCUGACACCGGAAGCUGCCUGGUGCCAAGUGUUGGCACAAUGGCCUCAGGAGUCCAACUCUCACUCAUCCCCCUUUGCAGAUGAGGAUCCUGGGCUCUUCAGGUUGGGCACAUCCAGCUUUCGAGUAAACUGAAGGCCAGGGAAGUUCCUCAUGGCUCCUGGUUGGAGGGAGGGGUGGUGGGAGCUGGCCGCGGCUGCUGUUGAGAGUCAUCCAGUGCCUACGGAAGAGGAAGAAGCAGAGGACGACGAAGCCAGUAGAGCUCUUGGCGCCCAGGGUCUGAACCUUUGGAGCUUUCUCGGUCUCUGGCAGGCCCCACUCUGGCCUCUUCUCACCCCUGCAGGACUGGGCCCAGACUUCCCAGGAACCCGGGAUCCUAGGGUGAGGUUUGGCUGCCACUGGAAGCAAGGAAGAAAUGAAAGCUCUGGGUUCUGGAGGAAGAGCUCUCGGGAGGCUGUGUGAGACACUCGGAUACCUCACAAGCAGAAACUGGGCGAUGGUGUUGCCACUGUGACCCAUAAAUAAUGAUAUUUCUAUACCCGAUGGGCCUUCCACUAGCUAUGGCUGUAGGGAGGGAGGACCUGCAAGAAACAAUCUGCUUAUACGUGGCUACUGCUGGGCACAGAGGGUCAAAUCUCACUUGGCAGUGAUGGGGACAGCAUGAGUGCUUAGCCAGUGGUGCCCGGGGGGGUGAGACAGGCCCUGACAGCCAGGGCUUAGGUCAUCUGUGACAGUUGGCACUGUCUCCUUGACAGCCUAGACUCACCAGGGAGACGGGCCUGUGGCCUGGCCCCUGGGGAUGGUCUUGAUCAUGUUAACUGAGCCCCAUCUUGAUUGCGGGUGGGACUGCUCUCUAGGUCAGGAGAUCCCGACUGUAUAAAACGGAGAGAGCACUCGCAUACGUUUAUCUCUGGUGUUUCCUGAUUACAGAUUCCAUGUGACCAGCUGCUUCGAGCCCCUGCUGCCCUGCCCCCCCCCCCCCCCGCCCGCCAUGAUGGA